UACGUAGGGUGCAAGCGUUGUCCGGAAUUAUUGGGCGUAAAGAGCUCGUAGGCGGCUGGUUGCGUCUGCUGUGAAAUCCCGGGGCUUAACCCCGGGCGUGCAGUGGAUACGGGCCGGCUGGAGGCAGGCAGGGGAGAAUGGAAUUCCCGGUGUAGCGGUGAAAUGCGCAGAUAUCGGGAGGAACACCGGUGGCGAAGGCGGUUCUCUGGGCCUGUACUGACGCUGAGGAGCGAAAGCGUGGGGAGCAAACAGG
rnacentral:rRNA from 1 species